AAGAAGUGCCUUUCACCUCCCACCAUGAUUCUGAGGCCUCCUCAGCCAUGUGGAACUUUUUUCUUUUGCCGCUGCCAUGUAAGAAGUGUCUUUCACCUCCUGCCAUGAUUAUGAGAUCUCCCCAGCUGUGUGGAACUGUUAAGUGCAGUUAAACCUCUUUUUCUUCGUGGUUCCAGGUUGUUUUCAUUCGUGGCGGGAUCACACCAGCAAGAAGGAUUUUAAAGGACUACUCCUCGGGGCCGUCCUACACUGAAACUGCCUGAGUGCUGUUGUCUCUGUGCUUUCAGAAAAUCACGGUGGGCACAAAAUUUUAGACUAAGACUUUGAUCACACGCGAGUUACUGUUCACGAAUCCAGGGCCAGCCUGGUGACUGUCUUCCUUUAAAGCACCUGGCUAGGUACCUAAAAUGUUCCAUUAAAAAAAAAAAUUCAAUAACUUCAUCAGAACAGGCCUUGAUAUAGACAGAUCUCCAUUUUUUUGGUUGGUUGAGUGAGUUUUUGCUCUGCAGGCUCAAUUCUUUAGAAUUUAGUUCUGAAAUCAC